rnacentral:rRNA from 1 species
GACGAACGCUGGCGGCGUGCUUAACACAUGCAAGUCGAACGAUGAAGCUAGAGCUUGCUCUGGUGGAUUAGUGGCGAACGAGUGAGUAACACGUGAGUAACCUGCCCCGAACUCUGGGAUAACUGCUGGAAACGGUAGCUAAUACCGGAUAUGACCAAUGAAGGCAUCUUCUGUUGGUGGAAAGAAUUUCGGUUCGGGAUGGACUCGCGGCCUAUCAGCUUGUUGGUGAGGUAACGGCUCACCAAGGCGACGACGGGUAGCCGGCCUGAGAGGGCGAUCGGCCACACUGCGACUGCGACACGGCCCAGACUCCUACGGGAGGCAGCAGUGGGGAAUAUUGCACAAUGGGCGCAAGCCUGAUGCAGCAACGCCGCGUGAGGGACGACGGCCUUCGGGUUGUAAACCUCUUUUAGUAGGGAAGAAGCGAAAGUGACGGUACCUGCAGAAAAAGCACCGGCUAACUACGUGCCAGCCGCCGCGGUAA